ACGCUCAUGGAAAACAGGGUUAUUAGCAAUGUGAACAGCAGCCUGACUAUCACAAAAAACAGAAAUAGGAGAAGGAACAGAUACCCCAAGACAGCAAGUAAGCGAGAGAGCCAAGAUAAUUCAGCUGAACCUUGCUUAAAGCCCUGUACUCAGCUUAGCAGAUGAAAGAGAGACAACGGGUUGUUUUUUGAUUUCCAACUGAUCAGACUACCACCCAACAACACACAAAAACCAGUAACAGACCGU
rnacentral:lncRNA from 1 species